rnacentral:rRNA from 1 species
UACGUAGGUGGCGAGCGUUGUCCGGAAUUAUUGGGCGUAAAGAGCGUGUAGGUGGGAUCAUAAGUCUUUUGUCAAAGUGCGGGGCUCAACCCCGUGAUGCGGAGGAAACUGUGAUUCUUGAGUGCCGGAGAGGAAAGCGGAAUUCCCAGUGUAGCGGUGAAAUGCGUAGAUAUUGGGAGGAACACCAGUGGCGAAGGCGGCUU